UUCCUUCAAGUUCAGACGUCGCUGAUUACUUCAAUAUUGACAUCGAAUUUACUGGUUGAACCAAAACAGAUUGCCCCUGCAAUUGAUUUAGAUUACCCUCCCCAGACCCUACUUGUGGAAUUAUACUGGGUUGUUGUUGUUGUCUUUGUUUCAUUGAAUGUAUGAUCACCUAAUUGAACUCAAGUCUCGAGGCAUAACGACUAACAUAAAAUGUAGACUUAUAUAUCAUAAAAGAAUACAAAAUUUUCUAAUUAAUUAAAAAAAAGAGAGGAGAGUAUUCUAAUACAAUUCUGAGAAAUGAAGAAAAAUGGAACCUACAAUGGACAUGCUUCUUAUCGAGCAUUCAACAAUGUGAUGGUAACUUCGUUUAUAGAACUUGGUGUUUGUGUACUCCAAGAAAAUUCAGCAUCAUUAACAUUCCUUUCAGUGAAAAAUCCAGGAUGUUUAGGUGGUGGCAAAAUGCCUUCAUUGCUCAGCAUCAUAAUCACAGAAGACAUACUUGGCCUGUCCUCUGGAUUCUGUUGAACACAUAACAAUCCCACAUGGAAGGUGUUUGUGUACUCCAAGAGAAUUCUGCAUCUUUAACAUUCCUUUCAGUGAAAAAUCCAGGAUGUUUAGGUGGUGGCAAAAUGCCUUCAUUGCUCAGCAUCGUAAUCACAGUAGACAUACUUGGCCUGUCCUCUGGAUUUUGUUGAACACAUAACAAUCCCACAUGGAUUGAUCUUAGUAUUUCUGAGACAUAACAUGAGUCCACCAUAUUUGAAUCGACUAGUUCCAGUUGUCUUCCUUCUUUAUGAAGCAUCCAUGCCUGCAUAUCAAAGGAUUUAAGUUAUAUAAACUAACAAUGUUUACACUAUCAGCAUAGUUUAACCUGUGAUAGUAAUUUAGGUUUUAGCUGGUUACCGAUUAGCUUAUUAUAAAGAUUUACAUGUAAUUUACCAUCAGCGCAUAAAACGAGUACUUUUUCGAAGUAAAGUCUUUUUCACUUAGGAGUUACACUUACA
rnacentral:lncRNA from 1 species